rnacentral:rRNA from 1 species
AUACGUAGGUGACAAGCGUUAUCCGGAUUUACUGGGCGUAAAGGGCGUGUAGGCGGUCUUGCAAGUCAGAAGUGAAAUUCCUGAGCUCAACUCGGGCGCUGCUUCUGAAACUGCAGGACUUGAGUGCUGGAGGGGAUAGCGGAAUUCCUAGUGGAGCGGUAAAAUGCGCAGAUAUUAGGAAGAACACCAGUAGCGAAGGCGACUUACUGGCCUUUAACUGACGCUGAGGAACGAAAGCGUGGGUAGCAAACAGGAUUAGAUACCCUGGUAGUCCACGCCGUAAACGAUGAGUGCUAGGUGUCGGGUGUCAAAGCUCGGUGCCGCAGUUAACGCAAUAAGCACUCCGCCUGGGGAGUACGUACGCAAGUAUGAAACUCAAAUGAAUUGACGGGG